UGGUUCUGGCAUCGAUGAAGAACGCAGCGAAAUGCGAUACGUAAUGUGAAUUGCAGAAUUCAGUGAAUCAUCGAAUCUUUGAACGCACAUUGCGCCCCUUGGCAUUCCGAGGGGCAUGCCUGUCCGAGCGUCAUUACACCAAUCAAGCACCGCUUGGCGUUGGGCGCCGCCGCUGUCGCAGCUGGCGCGCCCCAAAUUCAUCGGCGAGGAGACCGACCCCGGCGUGUUGAGAACCCAGUUCGUACGCACAGAGCACCGGCCGCCUCCGCCGCAAAACUCCAAAGGUUGACCUCGGAUCAGGCAGGGAUACCCGCUGA
rnacentral:misc_RNA from 1 species